UGCCCGCCGCGUGUAGUGUGUGGUCUCUCGCUCUCCACCUACUCGUAUCUCUGGCUACCUCUUCUGUUGGGGAUCGUGCCUGCCGUCCUCUUGUACUGUUGCCUCCUCCAGUAUCAUAACGGAGGCAUGCAGGCUUCAGUUCCCCUACUGAGAUUCUGACACUAGCUGAGUAACGGUGUGUGUUGAGCCCAACAGAACGGAGGGCGGUAGUUUCUCCUCGUCCCUGGCCUUGACAGAAAAUGCAGAAGGAACUGUGGUGGUUAACGUUCCUACCCCAUCAUGCAGUUCAUCACCAGUUGCCCCCCUCAGUAAUCCAAAACCACCUUCAGCUUCUACCGGUGACACAGGUGAAGCUCUAUCAUCCUUAGCUUCGAUGCAUCCUCGGAAAAGGAUGUGUUCUGUAUCCUUUCAGGACAAAUGCUAUGAGGGGACAUUGGGCUUGCAAAGAAAAGAACAUGAUAUGCAUAUUAAAAAUUUGACAGUGAAAAGUGAAAUACUAGAAACUGGAAAAAAAAGUUAAAAGCCCUUAAUUUGGAAAUUGCUCUUAUGGAUAAAAAUUUAAAGAACCUUAACUUACAAGUAGCAGGGCAGAAACUGGUAAACCAGAAA